UAAUGAAAAAAACUUUGUAUAAUAGCUUCGAUAUGGGAAGCAAGUUUCUACCUCAAAACCAUAAAUUUUGAGACUACAAAGCCUAC
rnacentral:ncRNA from 1 species